AACGAACGCUGGCGGCAUGCCUAACACAUGCAAGUCGAACGAGACCUUCGGGUCUAGUGGCGCACGGGUGCGUAACGCGUGGGAACCUGCCCUUAGGUUCGGAAUAACUCCCCGAAAGGGGUGCUAAUACCGGAUAAUGUCUUCGGACCAAAGAUUUAUCGCCUUUGGAUGGGCCCGCGUUGGAUUAGCUAGUUGGUAGGGUAAAAGCCUACCAAGGCGACGAUCCAUAGCUGGUCUGAGAGGAUGAUCAGCCACACUUGGACUGAGACACGGCCCAGACUCUUACGGAAGGCAGCAGUGGGGAAUAUUGGACUAUGGGCGAAAUCCUGAUCCAGCAAUGCCGCGUGAGUGAUGAAGGCCUUAGGGUUGUAAAGCUCUUUUACCCGGGAUGAUAAUGACAGUACCGGGAGAAUAAGCACCGGCUAACUCCGUG
rnacentral:rRNA from 1 species